rnacentral:rRNA from 1 species
CAAUAGCGUAUAUUUAAGUUGCUGCAGUUAAAAAGCUCGUAGUUGGAUUUCGGGUGGGAAUGGCCGGUCCGCCGUUUCGGUGUGCACUUGCUACGCCCACCUUGCUGCCGGGGACGUGCUCUUGAGUUCACGCUCGGGACACGGAGUCGGCGAGGUUACUUUGAGUAAAUUAGAGUGUUCAAAGCAGGCCUACGCUCUGAAUACAUUAGCAUGGAAUAACACGAUAGGACUCUGGCCUAUCUUGUUGGUCUGUAGGACCGGAGUAAUGAUUAAGAGGGACAGUCGGGGGCAUUCGUAUUUCAUUGUCAGAGGUGAAAUUCUUGGAUUUAUGAAAGACGAACUACUGCGAAAGCAUUUACCAAGGAUGUUUUCAUUAA